rnacentral:rRNA from 1 species
ACGCUCGACACCUACUGGAGGCAGCAGUGGGGGAUAUUGCACAAUGGGGGAAACCCUGAUGCAGCAACGCCGCGUGAAGGAAGAAGGUCUUCGGAUUGUAAACUUCUGUCCUCAGGGAAGAUAAUGACGGUACCUGAGGAGGAAGCUCCGGCUAACUACGUGCCGGCAGCCGCGGUAAUCUGAGCGGGCUGGCAAGGC